GCUAGAUCCAUCUAUAUUUUCUACGAGUGUGGCUUGAAGCUCUCCAAAUAAUAAUACAAGAAAUAAAGAGAUCCACACAUAUAUUUUAUAGUUUGUUGUCAUGGCCAGGCGUAUGCGUAAAUCUAAAUCAUCUAAACGGUGCGAUUGCUGCACACCUUGGUGUAUCGUCUUGACCAUUCUAAUCCUCGCCUUCGUAAUUGCCAUAAUCUUGGUAUUGGAGGUUUACAAACCGAAAAGCCCUAUUACGCAGAUCUAAAUCAGCCACGAGUCACUUUACAAGGCGUCGUAUAUCCUCCGAGUUUCAAGCACAGAGAUGAGAUAGUGGAAGACAUUAGUUGUAUACAGAGAAACAAGUUGGUCAUGUUGAUCUUCCCUCAGACAUAAGUAGCAAAGAUUGUGUUGGAAACAAAGACAGAGGUCCUGUAGAGAAGUCAAGCUGUUGGGAAUCUUCAAGACACACUUUAGUUCGGAUUGUAAAAUCAAUAUGACUUCCCCUUCUAUGAAAGUGUAGAACCAAACAAGAAUGUAAAAUGAGCUCUAAGUUGUAUAUUGAAUUCGUCUUUUGGUAUCCAUAUAGGCAGACAAAAGGAUUGAUUUUUAUGUCAUACACUAGUAAAGACUGUAUUUUUCAACUCCAUUUGAAUAUAUCUCCCUCUCUCUCGAUC